AUCACCUUCUCCCACUCCACCAACGCACGCCUUAUUUUGCCCAUCCCCCUAAUCUCUCUCUUUGAUAAGGUUUCUUCUCCCAUAUCUCUCUAGCUAGCUACUAGGCAUGGCGAUUAUGGAGGUAGAUGAGAUGGGCUGUUAAUUCGCUUUGUUUGUGCGCCAUAAGCAGGUGAAGCUGCCAGCAUGAUCUGAAAGCAUCUCAAACCAGCGAUCAGAUCAUCCGGCAGCUUCAUCUUCUCAUGGCAGCACACCAGCUUGAUUGAUUGAUGAUGAAACCCUAGGAGCAGGUAGCUUGGCUUCUCGAUCUUAGCCUGAUCUUAUACAAGGACGAUCGAUUAGGCCAAAUCAGGAGUUCAACAGUCCAUGUAAGUUCAGCUUCAGCUUUUUUUAAUUUGCUCCUUGAGAUAGCAAAUCAAGAUCUAGGGCUUUCUGGAGGAGAUGAAGUCGUGUACAUGUUCUUAGAUUGCGAUCUUGGUAGUUUGUUUUUGUUUCUGCAGAUCGAGUGCAAAUAUAUGUCUUUUAGAUCUGCAUAUAUUGAUAUUGGAUUUGUAACUUUGAAUGUGCAAUUUGAUCUGUAUAUGCACUGGAUAUGACAUUAUUCAUGCAUCUUACAUGUUUUAUAUCACUUAUUAGUAUGCAGAAAUUGAAGUCUGAAUAAUUAAGCAGUAGGAUCCAUCUGACGAAUGAACAUAUAUUUAUAUAUAAGCUAUUAUAUUAUCAGGUAACGCAUCAGACUAUCAUCUCAUAUUGCCCCGUGUCCCUCUUAAACACAACUACACAACCUAAUGUUUUAUAUGUAUAUGCAUGUGUGCCAUACACGCUUGCGACAUACAUUUAGAUGUUCUAUGAUAUCCAUUCACUCAUCGGAAUAUAUCUGACAUGCAUGGAGUGGUGAAUUGAAGUUCCCCCAUGCAUCCUCUUUUUCAAAAAAAAAAAAAAUCUAUAUCAUAUAUAUAUCCUCUAUCCCUUGUCUUUCCUACUUUCCCUUACAUCAUACAUGCAUGAAGAUGUACAUAUAUGAAAAAAAAUGAUUAAUACUAGUAUUUUGCAGUUACUAUUUGUCCAAUCCAAAUUAAUCUUCUGAUGCUAUUUUCAUAUGGCAAAUCUUAUAGUAUCUCUUGUAUAUUUUUUUUCUCUUUAUCUUAACGAUGAAGUUGUUAAAGCUUGAUUGCAUACGUUCUAAUAAUUCGUGAUCAGGAAGAAGUAUUAAGUUACAGUUCAAGAUCAGGGAAAAGCAUAAUUUCAUCUGAGUCUUGCUCUGAUCCCGUUGAAAACGUUUUAAAAUCUUGCAAUAUGCAUGGACCACUACUAUGAAUCAACAUAUCGCCAUCCUUGAUAUUCAUUAACUGUGGUGGCUUAAUUAGUUGCUUCGGCAUAUAUACUAAUUUGACAGUACAACAGUUAUUUCAGAUGCUGCGUGAUCUGAAGAAUUUUCGUCCUUAGAGGCAUCUUACGCGUGCCAUCCAUGCCUGAAGGAUGAUCUCACAUCUGAGCAAAUUAAAUGCGAUGAAUUAGAUUCCCAUAUUUACUCGACCUCUUAUUGCUAGGGAUAUAUAUAACCUCUCUUUGAUAUAUGUGGACGCUCAUUGUCAUCCAAAAGCAAGAUUAGCUCCUCUAAUUUUGAGCACUGACGCAUGCCACUGAUAAACCUUUUAAACUAUAUAAACAAACUUUCAGUUGCAAGAAACGAUACAGUGCAUGUAACUAUACUAUAACCAGGAAAUGAAGGGGACUGAUGUCUAUAGCAUGGCGCCGACGACCACUGAAUAGAUGCAUGCGCGCAUCCUCUGGCUUGCAAGAAAUUGCCUGUCAAUUCUGGCAGGCAACAAGAGGAUGAAAAGAAUCACAACCCCUGAAUGGUCACAAAUAUUUCACAAUAGAAGUUAGUAUUUUCUCCGUUUCACGAUAUAAGACUUUCUAGCAUUACCCACAUUUAUAUAAAUGUUAUGUGUCUGGGCAUUGAUAGAAAGUCUUACAUUCGUGAAAAAGAGGGAGUAGCAACUUAAUUUUAGGUCCGUGCAGUGUUGAUAUCCAGAUUAACGAAAUGUUUUUUUUUAUCCGUGAUAUGUUCCUCUGUAUAUGGUCUGUGUAAUACACAUAUACUACUUUUAAUUAUUUUGGUUUUCUUCUCA